rnacentral:rRNA from 1 species
UACGUAGGUGACAAGCGUUGUCCGGAUUUACUGGGCGUAAAGAGCGCGCAGGCGGUCGUUCAAGUCGAGUGUGAAAGCCCCUGGCUCAACUGGGGAGGGUCACUCGAUACUGAUCGACUCGAAGGCAGGAGAGGGAAGUGGAAUUCCCGGUGUAGUGGUGAAAUGCGUAGAUAUCGGGAGGAACACCAGUGGCGAAGGCGACUUCCUGGCCUGUUCUUGACGCUGAGGCGCGAAAGCUAGGGGAGCAAACAGG